UAUUGAAUAAACUGGUUGGGAUUGGUGCUGGCUCUCAUGAGCAUGUGCACGCCUAAUCCAUUUUUAACCACCUGUGCACCUUAUGUAGACUUGAACAAAUUUCGAGAUCCAUUGUGUACUCGCUUAGAGAAUUGCUGCUGUCUGUAUAGGCCAAGCUUUUCUUGUUCUUCAAGUCUAUGUCUUUAUUACUAAACCCCAGUAUAAGAAUGUAAUUGAUAGGCUAUCGUGCCUUUAAUCACAAAUACAACUUUCAACAACGGAUCUCUUGGCUCUCGCAUCGAUGAAGAACGCAGCGAAAUGCGAUAAGUAAUGUGAAUUGCAGAAUUCAGUGAAUCAUCGAAUCUUUGAACGCACCUUGCGCUCCUUGGUAUUCUGAGGAGCAUGCCUGUUUGAGUGUCAUGAAAUUCUCAACCUCUUCUAGCUUUUGCAAGCUAGAUUGGGCUUGGAUUAUGGAAGUUGCUGGCUUGUUUGAAGCCAGCUCUUCUAAAAUGCAUUAGCAAAAGAUCAUUGCUGCUUAUCAUUUGGUAUGAUAAUUAUUUAUACCAUUGUGAGUUGGCGUUUCAUUUUGCUUCUAACUGUCUCUAUUAUGGGGGGAACAAUUUGG
rnacentral:rRNA from 1 species